CCAAUGUGUAGCCAAAAUCAGGGAUGCUGCUUUCUUCAGAAGUGUCAUCUAGAUCUUUAAAAGCCAAGCAUAGAGUUCUCAGAGCUUCAGAGGCAAAGCCAUUUAUAACAUCUGAGAUAUUCCUCUUCUGUUCUUCAGACAGGUUAGCAACUUUUCCACUAUCAUCAACAACCUUGUCACACAUUUUUAAUACUAUUUCAGAUCCACCUUUGCAAGAUGCCUGCAACC
rnacentral:misc_RNA from 1 species